rnacentral:rRNA from 1 species
GGGGGAUAUUGCACAAUGGGGGAAACCCUGAUGCAGCGACGCCGCGUGGAGGAAGAAGGUUUUCGGAUUGUAAACUCCUGUCGUUAGGGACGAUAAUGACGGUACCUAACAAGAAAGCACCGGCUAACUACGUGCCAGCAGCCGCGGUAAAACGUAGGGUGCAAGCGUUGUCCGGAAUUACUGGGUGUAAAGGGAGCGCAGGCGGGAAGACAAGUUGGAAGUGAAAACCAUGGGCUCAACCCAUGAAUUGCUUUCAAAACUGUUUUUCUUGAGUAGUGCAGAGGUAGAUGGAAUUCCCGGUGUAGCGGUGGAAUGCGUAGAUAUCGGGAGGAACACCAGUGGCGAAGGCGGUCUACUGGGCACCAACUGACGCUGAGGCUCGAAAGCAUGGGUAGCAAACAGGAUUAGAUACCCUGGUAGUCCAUGCCGUAAACGAUGAUUACUAGGUGUUGGGGGAUUGACCCCCUCAGUGCCGCAGUUAACACAAUAAGUAAUCCACCUGGGGAGUACGACCGCAAGGUUGAAACUCAAAGGAAUUGACGGGGGCCCGCACAAGCAGUGGAGUAUGUGGUUUAAUUCGAAGCAACGCGAAGAACCUUACCAGGUCUUGACAUCCGAUGCAUAGCACAGAGAUGUGUGAAAUCCUUCGGGACAUCGAGACAGGUGGUGCAUGGUUGUCGUCAGCUCGUGUCGUGAGAUGUUGGGUUAAGUCCCGCAACGAGCGCAACCCUUAUUGCCAGUUACUACGUUAAGAGGACUCUGGCGAGACUGCCGUUGACAAAACGGAGGAAGGUGGGGAUGACGUCAAAUCAUCAUGCCCUUUAUGACCUGGGCUACACACGUACUACAAUGGCGUUAAACAAAGAGAAGCAAGACCGCGAGGUGGAGCAAAACUCAAAAACAACGUCUCAGUUCAGAUUGCAGGCUGCAACUCGCCUGCAUGAAGUCGGAAUCGCUAGUAAUCGCGGAUCAGCAUGCCGCGGUGAAUACGUUCCCG